GCCAGGUGUGGUGGCACACACCUGUAAUCCAAGGGCUCUGGAGGCUGAGGUAGGAGGUUGGUGAGUUCAAAGCCAGCCACAGCAACUUAGCGAGACCCUGUCUAUC
rnacentral:sRNA from 1 species